rnacentral:SRP_RNA from 1 species
AACGUGGUGUGAUGAUGGUGGACUCGCACGGCUAAUACAUUGGGUUGAGGAAGUCCUGCACCAUCUGAGUCGCAAAGGUAUUUUGUGCAUUCUUCCUUCCGCAUCUUACUAUCCGAUACGACCGUCAUCAAGGGGAAAGGGGAAACCAUG